rnacentral:rRNA from 1 species
AGAGUUUGAUCCUGGCUCAGGAUGAACGCUGACAGAAUGCUUAACACAUGCAAGUCUACUUGAACUUCGGUUUGGGUGGCGGACGGGUGAGUAACGCGUAAAGAACUUGCCUCACAGAUAGGGACAACAUUUGGAAACGAAUGCUAAUACCUGAUAUUAUGAUUUUAGGGCAUCCUAGGAUUAUGAAAGCUAUAUGCGCUGUGAGAGAGCUUUGCGUCCCAUUAGCUAGUUGGAGAGGUAACGGCUCACCAAGGCGAUGAUGGGUAGCCGGCCUGAGAGGGUGAUCGGCCACAAGGGGACUGAGACACGGCCCUUACUCCUACGGGAGGCAGCAGUGGGGAAUAUUGGACAAUGGACCAAGAGUCUGAUCCAGCAAUUCUGUGUGCACGAUGAAGUUUUUCGGAAUGUAAAGUGCUUUCAGUUGGGAAGAAAAAAAUGACGGUACCAACAGAAGAAGUGACGGCUAAAUACGUGCCAGCAGCCGCGGUAAUACGUAUGUCACAAGCGUUAUCCGGAUUUAUUGGGCGUAAAGCGCGUCUAGGUGGUUAUGUAAGUCUGAUGUGAAAAUGCAGGGCUCAACUCUGUAUUGCGUUGGAAACUGUGUAACUAGAGUACUGGAGAGGUAAGCGGAACUACAAGUGUAGAGGUGAAAUUCGUAGAUAUUUGUAGGAAUGCCGAUGGGGAAGCCAGCUUACUGGACAGAUACUGACGCUGAAGCGCGAAAGCGUGGGUAGCAAACAGGAUUAGAUACCCUGGUAGUCCACGCCGUAAACGAUGAUUACUAGGUGUUGGGGGUCGAACCUCAGCGCCCAAGCAAACGCGAUAAGUAAUCCGCCUGGGGAGUACGUACGCAAGUAUGAAACUCAAAGGAAUUGACGGGGACCCGCACAAGCGGUGGAGCAUGUGGUUUA